UACGUAGGGUGCAAGCGUUAAUCGGAAUUACUGGGCGUAAAGCGUGCGCGGGCGGUGAUGUAAGACAGAUGUGAAAUCCCCGGGCUCAACCUGGGAACUGCAUUUGUGACUGCAUCGCUGGAGUACGGCAGAGGGGGAUGGAAUUCCGCGUGUAGCAGUGAAAUGCGUAGAUAUGCGGAGGAACAUCGAUGGCGAAGGCAAUCCCCUGGGCCUGUACUGACGCUCAUGCACGAAAGCGUGGGGAGCAAACAGG
rnacentral:rRNA from 1 species